UACGUAGGGUGCAAGCGUUGUCCGGAAUUAUUGGGCGUAAAGAGCUCGUAGGCGGUUUGUCGCGUCUGCUGUGAAAUUUCGGGGCUCAACCCCGAACUUGCAGUGGGUACGGGCAGACUAGAGUGUGGUAGGGGAGACUGGAAUUCCUGGUGUAGCGGUGAAAUGCGCAGAUAUCAGGAGGAACACCGAUGGCGAAGGCAGGUCUCUGGGCAACUACUGACGCUGAGAAGCGAAAGCAUGGGGAGCGAACAGG
rnacentral:rRNA from 1 species